CCUACGGGAGGCAGCAGUGGGGAAUAUUGGGCAAUGGGCGCAAGCCUGACGCAGCAACGCCGCGUGAAGGAAGAAGGCUCUCGGGUUGUAAACUUCUGUUAUCAGGGACGAAGCAUGUGACGGUACCUGAUGAAUAAGCCACGGCUAACUGCGUGCCAGCAGCCGCGGUAAUACGUGGGUGGCAAGCGUUAUCCGGAUUUACUGGGUGUAAAGGGCGUGUAGGCGGGAAAGCAAGUCAGAUGUGAAAACCAUGGGCUCAACCUGUGGACUGCAUUUGAAACUGUUUUUCUUGAGUACUGGAGAGGCAGACGGAAUUCCUGGUGUAGCGGUGAAAUGCGUAGAUAUUAGGAGGAACACCAGUGGCGAAGGCGGUCUGCUGGACAGUAACUGACGCUGAGGCGCGAAAGCGUGGGGAGCAAACAGGAUUAGAUACCCUGGUAGUC
rnacentral:rRNA from 1 species